rnacentral:rRNA from 1 species
UACGUAGGUGGCAAGCGUUGUCCGGAUUUAUUGGGUUUAAAGGGUGCGUAGGCGGUCCUUUAAGUCAGUGCUGAAAUACUCUAGCUUAACUAGAGGGGUGGCAUUGAUACUGGAGGACUUGAAUGAAGUCGAGGUAGGCGGAAUUGACGGUGUAGCGGUGAAAUGCUUAGAUAUCGUCAAGAACACCGAUAGUGAAGACAGCUUACUAGGCUUAGAUUGACGCUGAGGCACGAAAGUGUGGGGAUCAAACAGG